rnacentral:rRNA from 1 species
ACACUCCUACGGGAGGCAGCAGUGGGGAAUAUUGCACAAUGGGCGCAAGCCUGAUGCAGCGACGCCGCGUGGGGGAUGAAGGCCUUCGGGUUGUAAACUCCUUUCGCUAGGGACGAAGCUUUUUUGUGACGGUACCUAGAUAAGAAGCACCGGCUAACUACGUGCCAGCAGCCGCGGUAAUACGUAGGGUGCGAGCGUUGUCCGGAAUUACUGGGCGUAAAGGGCUCGUAGGUGGUUUGUCGCGUCGUCUGUGAAAUUCUGGGGCUUAACUCCGGGCGUGCAGGCGAUACGGGCAUAACUUGAGUGCUGUAGGGGUAACUGGAAUUCCUGGUGUAGCGGUGAAAUGCGCAGAUAUCAGGAGGAACACCGAUGGCGAAGGCAGGUUACUGGGCAGUUACUGACGCUGAGGAGCGAAAGCAUGGGUAGCGAACAGGAUUAGAAACCCCGGUAGUCCC